rnacentral:lncRNA from 1 species
ACCUUAGAAAAAUAUUAAACUACAAUUUGUGUGUCUGUUUCAUGCCACACAUUUUAAUGAUCCUACAAGGUAGGUAUUGUCACUCUAUUUUUACAGAUAAGGAAAGUUGAGGGUCCAGGAAGUUGAGACUAGUCCAACCUCCUGAGUAUCAGAGAAGGGAUUUUUGAACCAAGGUCUUCGUACAAAGGCCUUAUUCUUUUUUCUGUACCAGAGGCUGGCAAACUAUGGUCCUCACACCAAAUCUGGCCCACUGCCUGUUUUUGUAAAUAAAGUUGUAUUAGAACACAGCCAUGCUUAUGUGUUCUGUCGCUGCUUUCACACUACCAGUGGUGGCAGAGGUGAUUUGAUUGAGUCAUUGCAACAGAGACUAUAUGGACUCAUGAAACCAAAAAUAUUUACUAACUGGCCCUUUAUGAGAACGUUUGCUGACCUGUUCUCUGUCCCACGCUGUGGCGUCUCUCCUAAGCUUUAAUUCUAUAUCUGGUAGUGCUUGUUGGACAUGAUAAACAGCUCUGCUUGGAUUUCAUUCUAAUGAUUUUAAGCAACCUUUUUAUUAUGUUCAUCAGUGAGGAAUUAGGACAGGCACUGCAGGAAUGGUUUGUCUCUUUCUUGAAAUCUGGAGCCUCAGCUGAGAAGACUUGGCAUCUUGGGCUAGAAUCAUCUAGAGCAGGUGGCAGAAAACUAGGCCCUCUGACCAUUUUUGUAAACAAAAUUUUAUGGAACAUAGCAACAUCCAUUUAUUUGUCUAUUGUCUGUGGCUGCUUUUUCCCUAUAAUAGCAGUUAUAGUUGCGGCAGAGACUAUGGCCUGCAAAGACUACAAUACUUAACACCUGACCUUUUAUAGAAAAGUUUGCAACCUCUGCUCUAGAGGCAUCUUCACUCAUUUAUCUGGCAGUGUGGGAGCGGGGUAGCGAUUACUUUGUCAUCACAGCGGAGUUUUGAAAGCACUCAACAGGUCUCACAAAAUCAGGACGAGCACCCUGAUCCACUUUCUCGUUUCAUCUCUCUGGCAGGAUGCACUAGAGCAGCCCCGCACCCUCCCGGCUGAAACUCAGACCCACCCUCCCGGGUGUCUGGGGUAAUUUUAGGAAGCGAGGAGUCUCUCUGGGCUUGUCAUGAGCAUUCCCAUGGAACCCCCUCACCCACACACACGCACACACACACACACUGCCCCCCAGGAUGGAAACUGUGGUGGUGGGUGGGGUGUGAGCACAGCUGACCUGUGACCUGUUCAGCAAGAGCCUCUCAUACCCUAGGGGGGCCACGACGAUGAGAAAUGGUAUCUAUUGUUUGUUUACCCUGAUUAUAAAAGUAACACCUUGUUGAAAAUCUACGUGUAUUUGACAUACAACAUUGUGUAAGUUCAAAGUGUGCAACAUAUUGAUUCGAUACAUUUAUAUUAUAAUAUGAUUGUCAUCACAGUGUUAGCU